UACGAAGGGAGCUAGCGUUGUUCGGAAUCACUGGGCGUAAAGCGCACGUAGGCGGAUUUGCCAGUCAGGGGUGAAAUCCCCGGGCUCAACCCGGGAACUGCGUCCGAUACUGGAAGGCUUGAAUCCGGGAGAGGGAUGCGGAAUUCCAGGUGUAGCGGUGAAAUGCGUAGAUAUCUGGAGGAACACCGGUGGCGAAGGCGGCAUCCUGGACCGGCAUUGACGCUGAGGCGCGAAAGCCAGGGGAGCAAACGGG
rnacentral:rRNA from 1 species